rnacentral:rRNA from 1 species
GACGAACGCUGGCGGCGUGCUUAACACAUGCAAGUCGAACGGAAAGGCCCUGCUUUUGUGGGGUGCUCGAGUGGCGAACGGGUGAGUAACACGUGAGUAACCUGCCCUUGACUUUGGGAUAACUUCAGGAAACUGGGGCUAAUAUCGGAUAGGAGCUCCUGCUGCAUGGUGGGGGUUGGAAAGUUUCGGCGGUUGGGGAUGGACUCGCGGCUUAUCAGCGUGUUGGUGGGGUAGUGGCUUACCAAGGCUUUGACGGGUAGCCGGCCUGAGAGGGUGACCGGCCACAUUGGGACUGAGAUACGGCCCAGACUCCUACGGGAGGCAGCAGUGGGAAAUUUUGCACAAUGGGCGGAAGCCUGAUGCAGCAACGCCGCGUGCGGGAUGACGGCCUUCGGGUUGUAACCCGCUUUCGCCUGUGACGAAGCGUGAGUGACGGUAAUGAGUAAAGAAGCACCGGCUAACUACGUG